rnacentral:tRNA from 1 species
AAUUAAUAAUUCUAAUUAAAUUUUAACUUUAAUUUAUUUAUUU